UUGCAAAUAUGUCGAUAAAAAAAUUAUUAAUGUUUAAACAUGAUAUAAAAUUAACAAGAAAUCACUCUUUUCAAAACAACUUCACACGUCGACAUAACCUUACUAAUGUAAAUCUCCAAUUACUAUUAAAUACGGAUUAAAACAGAAGAAAAAUAAUAACCGUACCUUAAAAAUCUAGGAAAAACCACCAUAGGAAACCGAGCGGUACACAGCCAAACAAACAACACCAGCCGUUGAUGAAAUGUCCAGAUUAAAUUAUUGAAAUUCCAUCCAGCCUUGUUACUCCACG